ensembl:lncRNA
CUAGCUGAAGUGGUAAGACCAGAUAGAAGUACUCCAAUACUUCUGUAAAAGAAGUAAUUUGAAAAACGUGGAAUUUUGCUCUGCAGUUACCUAUGGGAUCCUCCACAUUUGUCUCUGGAGGGCAGUACUCUUCUUAUUCAAGUGAUUAAUUCAACAAAUGUGACAGAAUUUUAAGCCAAUGAAGUUUCAUAUUUUCAGAGUAUUACUAAGCCUGAUAUAUUAUAGAGGCUUCAGGCGAGUACUACAAAUUAAAUAAUAUUCAUUUGUAGCUCAAAUAUGAGCUGAACAAUCCAAGUUUCAAUGAAGACAGCAGAAAAACCUCCUGGUGAUUUUAGUUGGAGGACUGUCAAACCAAUAUGACCUAAGCUCAGAAAAUAAAGCCAUUAAUAGCACCAGGGUAUUUCAGCAAGUAUAACAUGACAAAUGAAAAUUUUGAUGAAUAAUGCUUUAAACCCUUCUUUAGUCUUGAACUUAACAUUCUUCCAUAUAGAUCUUUACUUUGAAAAAUUACAGAAGGAAAAUUAAAUUGCUAGUGUUUACACUCACACACAUUAAUAGGUGCUACUUUCUCCUUUAUCCUUCAUUUAAAUAACAAAUAAUCCAUUGGUGUGCAAAAUUACAUUUUAUUGUUCAAAUUCUUAACAUUUUUGAUUCACAAAAAGAAGUAAUAAAGGAUGUUUUAACUGGAAAUGUAAUUUGUUAGAAAAAUUACAUCUAUAUGACUUGUUUGCUGAAGAAUAAUUUAUUUUUAAAAAAUGACCAAUCAUUAUUCUUGAGUAUGUAAUUAAAAAUACAAAGUUUUUCCUCUGUUAUAGAUUUUUACACUUUAAUUAGUAUCAAUACAUUAUAUUUUAAAAUUUUGGUCUGUAUCUGACAAAGGUAAGAUUAGGUACAUGUUAAGUAAGUCUAGUAACAGAAAUAUAUGAUACAGAUGAAUGUAAUUUUAUUCUCAAUGCUGUUUCCAAGAAGAAAAUAAACUCUAUUAUUCAUUCUAAUGAUGGUUUUAGAAUCUAUUGCUUUAUUUAGAAGUACAAAUAAAAUAAGAUAACAUAUAUUUUCAGGAGGACUUGAGUGUAAUUAACUAGAAUCUAUUGCAUGAACUUUUCCAUUCAUUUGCCUUCUUACUACCUGAGAACAGUCAGCCAAAAUACAUGUAUUUCUAUUCCUGCAAAAUGACUACUUUAAAACUAAUUAAAAAAUAUUUUUGCUUUUUCCUUGUGUCUUGCUUAAUAAAGUUGAAGACUGUUAAACUGCUAAAGCUGAGUGAGAGCUUAAAGAAAUUAAAAACGUGAAGAGAGAAAAGUCUCUAAUUAAAAGAGUUGUUUUAACAUUAACCCAAUCAGAAAUAUUCAAUAUCAGAAUAAUAGAAAGAACCCCUAGAACUAUACUUUCUAAAUAAAUAGCUUAUUUAUCUUUAUUCAAAAGCUCCGUUUUUACCAGUUAGAAUUUAAAUUUUCUAACAGCUUUAAAAAGAGAUUGAUGAAAAUUUUAAAUCAUGCAAAACUCACCUGCCUUGGAUUUUGCCUGGAGUGCUCCAGGUUUUGUGGGUUUUUUGUAAGUUUUUGUCCUAAUGUUUGUUAUUUCAGUACAGUUUCAUGGUUUAUUUUGGUUUUUUUUUUUUUUUUGCCAAGAAUUUAGUGCAACUAGGUCUCAAAGAUUUUUUUUUUUUUAACUGGUGGACUUUUGUGCUUGUCAGAAGUCAGAGUAAAAUCAAGAGGAUUUCAAGCUGUGCAAUAAUGUCAUACAGAAAUGAAAGGCUCCUAAACACCUAAAACCCGAAGUCACUGUUAUCCAUACAAGUGUAAACCUAAAAAAAUAUUUUGGAUGCCACCCAUGGUCCUCUGUCUGAAGUAAGCAGAUCAGUAACUCAACUGAUAGAAUGCAACAGAAACUGCAGAAGUAUCUUUAUCCUUCAAACCUUGUUUAGAGUGUGUUAAGUGUUCAAUUAGUGAUGUUAUUUUGUGAUCAAUGGAUGAUGAAGAGUAGCUGUAUUAUCUAGGAACUACUUUGGAAAAAAUUUCAGUCAGUGUAGCACCAUCUCCUAUUGAUACAUAAAAAAGAUACUGCACAGAAGCUAUCCUAGGGUUUAUGCUUCGUUUAAUCUGCUCCUGUGGUACAGUGGAGAAGAGGCAAUGGGAAGAGCACUAACUGUGCUAAAUGCCUCCUCUCAUUCUUGUGCUAUCCAACUGGUAAAAUAAUAACUGCUGCUGUUGUUUCCUACUCCAGCUGCAAAUCAAGGCAGUCAAGUAAAUGUUAAGAUCUGUCCCCUUUUAGGUUCAGUAAUUAUAUAGUGCUAAGGAGAAUUGAGAAUUUUCAGCAUGCUUCUGAAAUGCAGGGAGUCUUUGCUCACUGCUCCAAGUGGGAGGUUACAUGAAAUUGAACUUAGUGGGUGCAAAAUACCUUUCAUCUCGGUCAGCUCAGCUUGUCAUCAGUAGAGCCCUGCACCAGCCUGGGAGUGUCAAAGCCCAGGCUUUAGCUUUGUUGUCCAUGUAGCUGCACUAUGGUUCUUACAUACUUGACUUAUUUUAAACUUCCUGGGUAAAAGGAGAGAGUUGGCUUUGUAUGUCAAUAUAUUUCUCUGUAUAUGGUUGUGAUGAAUGUAUUGCACUGGACUAAACUCAGUGCAUUAAUGCAUAAAGAAUACAAUCUAUACAGAAAAGCUAUGCUUUUACAAUUGAAAGGUCAAUAAAUGCAAAGAAGCUUCCUCCUGGUAUGUUUAAACUCCAUAAGAAAUAGAAAUUGUGUGCUUACAUUGUUAGCUUUGGGUUUAUAUUCAGAUUUUGAACGGUAUGUAGUACUUUGUAUUGUAGCAAAUACUUACAUGAAUAUGAUUGCUCUUGUGCUUUAUAUUAUAAAUUAAUUGGUAUCUAUAUAACUGAUUCUAAGUAGAUUUUUGAAUUCAUUGUGACUGAACAGAGGAAAAGUUAAAAAACACUCAAAAAUAUCUAUAGAGUAAUAAAUUAAGCACUUUAAUUAUACUUAUGUAUAGAAGACAGCAGAUAAGAUAGCUAAUCAGAUUGCAAUGUUGUUUUUAUUUUUUUUUCAAAAAUGGAAAGUAUUAGUCCUCACUUAAAAAUAUAUCAAAAAUAAAUCCCCAUGGAACUACCUGCAGAAAUAUCUUUCAUAAACUGGAAAAACUGUCUUCUUAAUUCAUAUAAAGAAUCAAACUUAAUUAAUUAAGUUAGAUUAAUCCCCUCUUUAUCAUGUUAAUAGUAAUUUCAGUAGAAUUAGAUUAUGGAGUUGUUCCAUUAUUUACAAAAGGCACUCAACAAAAAAAGACUAUUGGUUGUUAAUUUCUUUCUGCAGUAGUAUUUCAGAAUACAUAUUGAAUGUCUUAGUUUUACUGUCCCUUAUUUGCAAUGUCAAAGAAGUUUGUGUAAUGUAAAAAACAUUCUACAAACAGAUUGCGUGAUACCUAUAUGGGUAUAUUAUUACAAUAUUUUCUUUUUCUAGCAUUUGAUGUCACUCAACUAAUAAAAUAUUCUAUAUUUAUUCAGUCCUCUAAUUUUGAAAACACUCAUUUUUUUCUUUUUAAUAAUUCAUGCUUUCUGUUGAAAGAUCAUCAUUCUGUUACAGAAUGAUGAUCUGCUGAAUUCCUUUUACAUUGCUAGCAGCAGGAAUGUGCUUCUGUCUUAUGAGUCAGAUGUGAUACAAAAAUUUAUAUGAACAGCUAGUGACUCUGCACUGUAUCUGAAAUUCAAUCUUAUUGGACUUAAAAGACCUCAGUGAAUAUGUAAAAUAUGGUACAGUUUCUUAAGUGCAAUUGCACUGAAAUACAACAGGACUAAUAUCAAUGCUGAAGUCAGUGGUGAAUUCCACCAAACAAAAUGUAGUCAUCUAUGUUCAGGUAUUACCAUUGUUUCUUUUGUUGUAGAGAUGAUGCAAGUUAUUUCCUCUUAUUUUACCACCAUUUAUAAGGUCUGUAAACUAUUAAAAAAGGAUCUUCUCUGACAUGAAGUUGGGGGAUACUGUUAGCUUCUUAAUUAAAUAGCUGAAUGAUUUCUUUCUAAUCAAUUUUAAACUUAUACUGGUUAUUGCCUUAAUAUACUGUUGUCUCCUUCAAUGAUAUGUUUUCAUCUCAAUUUUUAUUUUUUUUCUAUUGCAGUUAGGUAAUAUAUUUCCCUUAUAUUUUUGGCCAAAAGUACUGUGUGUCAUUAUUAUGCCAGAAAAUGAAGGUAAAAAAUAAGAGGAUCCCCAUUAUUUUUCUGAAUGUCAGAACUACUUAUUUUUAGUGCAAUACUGUAACAAUUGUCUGUUAAGAAUUGUAGUGCUGUUCUGAAGGAGUAAGUGAUACGGCAGUUUAUCUAGUGCACUGUGAAUACUAGCACCAUCAGCUGAAGAGAGCCUUGAAAAUAUUAUCAAAACCUUUGUAAACAAAUCUACAAAAGCAAAAGGAAUUGUUAUUUUUUGAGAGAAAUUCUUUCUAUUAUUCUAAGUACUUCUUGAAAGCAAGGACAUGCUUUUAAAAAAGUAUUUGAAAGGUUAAGAAUAACAUAAAAUGGCAUUCUCUUACAAGGUAAAAUGCUACAUUUUAUUUUAUGAAUCUUUGUGCAUUUUUGUAUCAUGUACACAGGAAGCUCUGGUAAGGCCAGGCUCUCAAGCUGGGUGUGGCUGGAGAGGUAGUAAUAUUUGAGCCUCAACUCACCAAGGAGUUCCCAGUUUUUUGUGAGGAGGCUCAGGUACGUUCUAGGAAAAUGGAAAGAAAGGUAGUUUUUAAAAUAAUUUUCAGUUACAAUUCUCAAAUGUAGACUGUUCUAUUGCUAUUGAGUCAUCACCAUACUUAGUGCUUCUGAGGAUUCUGUGUGAAAUAAGCUAGGCAAGUAAGAAAAAACUUGUGUUGACUUCAUAUAUAAAAUACUGACAAAAAAGUAUUAUACACUUCUCUUUUUAUUGGUCUGUUUCUUUGUUUUUUAGAUAACACCACUAGCUCCCAUUUAUAUAUUGUAUUUUGCAGGGAAGUAUAAAUAUUUUGUGUAAAUGUUGUUUAUGCCUGGUCGUAGCAUGAUGGUGUAUAAAAAGCUGGUAAUAUAAAUGUUUUUUUUUUUUAAUUUAAAUACAAAGACUGGUAGGUGAAAUGAAAUACAUAUAUUUAAGGGUAUCUGAACAUAUUUAUACUUUUUUACAUGUAUUUUAUACAUGGCCUUUUUACUGUGCCUUGUCUUGUGCCGUAUGGUUCAGAUUCUAUUUGUGUGAAAUAGAAGGUUGCUAAUAUUCUAGUUGUGGUUUUUUGACAAAGUUUUUGAAAAACACUUUGUAAAUGCAGAACCACAUUAUCUUUAAUACUGUAAAAUGGGCAUUCAAAUGAAAUACACCAAUGCUGUUAUUAAAAAAAGAGACUACUUUUAUGAAGUUCAUUGGCAUGAAAGUACAGUAAGGUUCCUGCACAAGAAAAAGCCACACAAAUACAAUCCACUAGAAAUAGAAAAAUAAUAAUAAAACAAAAAAACAACAAAAACCAGUCAACCAACAACAAAAACCAAAAAAAAAAAA